CAUUUGACCUCGCCACUGAUUUUAACUGUACUUCUCCAGUGAGUACUUCAAGGGACAUUAGGUCUUUGGCUCGACCGAGCGAUGGUUUCACAAGCCGGCUCUCGCUGUCAGAAGCUAUUGUUGCCUUCCUGUGUGGACGUGAUAAAUGACACUGCUUGGCUGUGCUGAAUACAUGACCUUCAGUGAAGAGGAACAACAUCGACUUGUUCCGCCCGGUGACCUUGCUCUGCCCUCUGGAUGAGAGCACCGAGCAGAGGAAGGACCACCGCACUUCCACUGGAUCAAGUGUAGUAGGAGAGCACCAGAGCGUAGCACCACCCAAAGCUCCAGAGAAAAAGUGUUUCAACUUUGCACCGCUGGACAACGACACGAUCCGUCAUAUGCAUAAAGUGAGCAGCGCAGCACGAGCUGGGAGCAGCAGCGCCUCCUGGAUGUGGCAGUGGAUGGUAAAAGCAGCGAGCUUGACUUGCCUUGGACUUACAGUGACUUACAGAGUAGCGGGAGUCUUGUGUAAACGCCGACGGUGCUCAGCCCCUGUUGAAACUGACGCCACCCAUCACCUGGCUCUUGACUUAGCUGCAUUAAUAGCACCUUGUAGCAGUUAGUGAGUGGAGCCCCGUUUCUUUUCCCCCAGUGGCGACGCUUCACUACAUGACUUUGAAGAAGCUUUGGAAGUCAAACCUGGUGUACAUCAGUGACUUUCAGUGACAUUUCUCUUCCGUCUCUCCUCUUCCUCAUUGUCGAUCAGUAGUUGAAAAGUGCCCUCAUUUGUCCUUAUAGCACAACUUUCUUUUUAUAUUUGAAUCUAUUCUUGGACUCUUGAAUUCAGUACAGACCUGUACAGGUGGACACUGUGAAGACAGAACGGUCCACUCAGUCACCUGUUAACACAUAAGCUUUACUCUGCGGGAGGAAAUUGGAGCAUCUGAAAACAGGGAGUAUAAAAUGAUGUCAAUUUAAAAACUACAAAUUUGUGGAUGGGAUAAGCAAUGAAGAAGAGGAUGUCGACGGAGAUUUAUCCGGCUGGUUGCUUUAGCUGGAGUGAUCUUGUGACUCAGAACCAAAUGUCUCUCCCAAAGCUUCACAGUCAUGUAGCGAGAGGUUUGCGUCACCUUCAGAGCCAAGAUGAGCCAGAUUUAAAUAAAAAAAAAAAAGCACCAGAUUACAGUAUCAAGUUUCGUUAAUGAGCAAACACGCUUAAAAAACGCUGAUACAAGCUUGAUUUCGAGCACCUGUACGAAGCGGCGUGGGGUGUUUGGGGAGGAGGAGGAGGCGGAGGAGGAGCUCACUAGCACAUGGCAAGCUGCGGGGCCAAAUUCCAAUUGGGUCAGAUCAGCAUCCUCACCCUUAAACAUCGUAUGGUGAGGCUCUAAAGUGACAAUGUUUUCAAGAUAAAUACCAAACUUUAUCCCACACCCACUCGUCGGCAUCGGCAACAGUUAGGAUUUUAAAUAAUUUAGAGUUAAGAAGGACAUUAAAUUGAGUGGCGACGGCCAUAGACAGAUCCUAAAAACGUGCUGUUUUGCUUCCAAGCCACAGCGAUAAUGGCUCCUCCUCCAGGUAUCAGUUGACUGAGACAAAACCAAAUAUAUACUUAAGAUUUCCAAACAUGGAAAAAGGAAACUGUCUGACAGACUCAGACUGAUUGAUUUAAAAAUAUAUAUAUAUAUAUAAGUAAAAUCACAUCAUUAAUAAUAACAUUAAUGGAAACAGCAAUUAUAAAAAAAAACAUGUCUUCAUUAUAAUAAUACCUGUAAUAACAACAUUGACAGUAACAAUAGCGAUCAUAAUAAUAUUGAUAACAAUAGCAAUAAUUAGAAUCAUUAAAAUUCUAUGGACAAGGAAAUAAAAGAAUGAAGUUCCUCUCACAGGGAGAGAGAGGAAGAGCACCACAGGCAAGUGUGUCUGGAGGCCAAACCACUGCCUGACAUGAGGUAAAAACAAUAAAAAUGUCCCCUAUCCACACCAGAGGGAGCUGGAUGCUGAGAUGUCAGAAGAAACAUUCAUCCUGCUCAACUCCUUCUCCACAACAGCAAUGGUACCACUCAAUCUUCGUCUACAUUUGUGUGUCUGACCUCACACAAAGUGGUUGUACGGCCCAGUGAGGCGCGUGAAGGCAUAAGGAGACACAGUAACCGUGGAGGAGGUGUAAAACGUGGAGGCCAACCGAGUGGCCGGCCCUUCCCGCUUGUCUUUAGAUUGUCCAGGUCCUGAUGAGGCCCCUGCCGCCAUGGUACCCCACUUCCUCUUCUUGCCGAGGGCCUUUAUGUCCUCCUGGGAGAGGCCGAGGAGAGCUGCUUCCUGUUGCCUCUGCAGGGCCUUCUCAGCCAGCAGCUUCAUCUUGGCCUCCCACACAGCCAAGCCGUGCAUGGGCUGGUUCAGGUUUUUGUGCUGGUAAAAGACCAAGGAAAUGCGCGUGGGGUGGGAGCGAUCGGGGGUUUUGAGUGGCGUGGUGGCAUGGAGUUCUCGACGAGCACAUUCGAUGAGGAUGGAUCCAUGAGCCGGUGCGACAGCCACACCACCGAUGUUAGGAUCCAAGAAGUUGUGCUCACUGUCCGACCAAACCUCAUCGUCGUCCUCCUCUCGGCCUUUGGUGCUCUCGACGUCGCUCUCGGCUCGACUGGGGUUCCAGGCCUGAUCGGACUGUUGCUGCAGGGCGUCAGGGAAAAGACGGCCCUCAGGGGCAGGAGACGGGGUACUGCCCGCAAAGGAACCCCCACAAGACUUCCAGGCAUUUUCCUGAAGCCCAAGAGGGGUGGAACAGCGACUCUCCACAGUUUUGGACCACAUAUUGUCUGGGUAGGCCCCAGUGGAUUCUCUGUGCUUCACAUGAGGACUAUAUGCAGCGUGCCCGACUGGCCAAGCGUUUGGCUGGGGGCUAGGAGCGGGGCUGGCCCAGUGCCUGGGAGUCCCUGGCUGUGGUGUGGGCGGGCCUGAGUGAGAAGGAUCUGGCUGCGGCGUGCCUGGAUGGGGGGUACCAGGGCCUGGCGUGGAAGGGCGAGAAGAGCCUUGGUUUUUGAUGCACGGUCUCACUGAACCCAAGUGAGGAGAGGGACAAGGAGAGGGUGGCAUAUGCAACGACGGGGAGGGGGCCGGGGACGCCAUUGCUGCAUUGGGGCGAGGUAAUGAUGUCCAUGGUUGCGGAUAGGGAGAAGGCUGGCGAUGCUGGUGAGACUGUGGCCUGUCCAGGUUCAUUGAUGGCCCUUCAGUGCUUUGUUUUGGAUUCGGAGGAUGGUCCCAGCUCCCGCCACUACUGAACGUCUGCUGAGGCCAGGGAGCAGGCUGAGGGGUGGUGCUGGGAGUGCUUGCGCCCGAGCGGCUCGGCACCGUGCCUUCAUAUACGGCAACAUCCAUCGGCUCCUGCUUGAUGAUCGGAGUGCUUCGGCUACCAGGCUCAGACGACACAGACGAAGGGCGCGAGUGGCUGUAGUCUGGAGCUUGGGCGUCCAUGCCUGGAGCCAUCUGCUCAGGAUAUGACUGAGCCAAUCUCGCCUGAAGACUGUGAACAUCUGGCUUUCUGUCUACCGGGAAAGGCUUGGCGCCCACUUUGUUCAAAGAGCCAUGGCGACCUUCGUAGGUCCUCAUCUUUGACGGGAAAAGUGCAUUGGGGGGAUAAUUGUAGUGGUUAUAGUGCAUGGGGGGUAGAUUGUGGUGGUAGCCGUUCACAGGGUCUGCUGCAGGGGGUUGACCAGUCGGGGGGAGGCCUCCCCUUGCAUAGUAGGCCGGGUGUGGAUGAACGUUGAACUCAUCGAUUGAUCCGUUGUAAGGCUCCUUCUUUAUGCUGGGCUUCACUUCUUGUUUUAUAAUUGCUAAACGGUUGAAGGAGACAAAACGAAAAACAUGAAACAAUGAUUUCUGUUUUUUUCAGGGUGUACAUCUGACUUACCUUUAUUGCCUUGAGGUUGUGGGGAAGUGGUGACAGAGAGCUCAGUCUUCACCACUGUUUUAUCAGGCGUUUGACCAGAUUGCUGAAGGAGUUUGCUUUUCUUCUUCUCCGAUGCCGCCUUCUUGGCGUCCAGGCGGCGCUGUCUGCAGGACUUGGCAGGCUCCGGCAACUUGCGAACCUCCCUGCGGAAAGCUUGAAGCACCUGAAUGGCCCCUGUCUGCAUCUUCUGCCGCUGGGCUUCCUCGCUGCCAAACUCAUCGGUGAGCGAGACCUUGUAAAGGGGCAGCACGUGGAGCUGUUCAUCUGGAGGAAUCUCACCCACCUUCCGGUUGUCCUCUUUGGACGCUCUCCCUGCAGCCUGAACUUGCGUGGCAGUUUGCUCCGGGCGUACUUGCAGCCAUUGAAGUACAUACUCCAAGAGCAGCCGAAGGAGAAGGAAGCACCGCAAGUGUCAGGGUCUUUGCCUUGACAUGCACAGACUGCUGACUUCCUCUCCCUCCUUCAGCUCAACCCUCAGCAUCCUGCCUUCAGCACAUACCACGCACCCUUCUCCUCUCUGAGCCUAACUUGGUGACAGUGAGUGCUGCACAUCCAGCGGAUCGCCGCCACACUUACUCGUCGUUGAGGCCACAACGUCUGCUGGUGGGGUUGCCGUACUUGGUGAGGGUGUCGCUGAGCUCCCGGUAGAGCUUGUCAGCAAGAAGCUUGGGGACACCUUCCCACGCCAUGAUGAGGAUGAUGAUGACGGCGUUCUCGCAGUGGUGGCCCGCACGGUGGCGGACUAGACACAGCAGCUUCUCAGCCUCGCUGCCGCGACGAAUCACCUGUCCGGAAAGAUUUUUAUGAGCCUCGUCGCAUCAUUUGCACAGCCAUCGCAAACAAUUAGGUUUGGUUAACAAUGUCAGGAAGUCCUAUCUGUGGCAACCGCCGGAGCUCAGCCAGUUCAGCAGCGGAUUUAAACACGGAAUUUUAUCGGUUCCCGAACAACACCCAAGUUCAUGGACCAGAUUCAUGGUUAUUAGGUUAAAGGCCUCAUCCACAUUGCCCAAGAAGUCGGAGAAAAUGACGCUGGAAAAUGUUUAAAGUUGACCAUUGCUUCAUAAUUUGGGCAUCUGGUGAAUGCUUGCACGCACUCCACGACUGUGGGCAGUUUACAGUACCAUAAGAAAGUUCAGCAAGCAGUUGAGCAGUACAAGCACAAAACACGCUUCUAACUCAGUGUGGGCUGUUUUUUCAGCCAGAGUUGUUGUGUCCUAUCAAGUGACCCCGGCGCUGAUUCCCACAUGAUCAAGUUCCAACCUCAAGCAAGGACGUUACACAUCACAAGAGGAACUCAGGAACAGCUGUCUAACUUGAAGCCCAGGAGCCAAUAGAAACUGCGGCAGAUGAAAGAAGGGAAACAUACACAGCUCUGAGGUCAAAGCAUAUAGAGAUGCUGGAUGCCAAUAUUGGCUGCCAUUGGUUAAAAUGGAGACUGUUUGGACACUAAUGCACUGUACCAAAAAUAAAAAAAAUAAUUUUGGGACCAAAACCAGUGAGAUCUUUUACGGCCACUUACCCACUUAGCGAUGGGACACCCUCGCGAGCUCUUCCCCUCCCGGCCUGUGUAGACCACCUUCUCAAUGCGAACUGCCUCACCCUUCUCACCGUACCUGAAUGAAGAAAGACUUUAUCAGAAGGAUAUUUUUUAUCCUUGUUUCCAACAUCAAGUGCAUUGAAGAGGCAAAAAUAAAUAAAUAUAAUAAAUAAAAAUAAAAUAAAAUAUGGUUGAGUGUGAAACAUUAUGGGAGGCUGGAACUCAAGCGGGAAUAAAGGCCACCUGUUGAGAAUCACACGGCUGAACUGUGUCCAACUCAAACUGAAACCGUCAGACACCAAAAUGCAAGCGAGUAAAACUGGCCACGAUGAGGAUGAUGGUGACAACGUACCCGUAGUUCUCAAGAGAGUAACUGCUUUUUGCUUUAGAAUUUAAGAAUGAGGUGAAAAGGA